CGGUGCCAGCCGCCGCGGUAAUACCGGCGCCUCAAGUGGUAGUCGCUUUUAUUGGGCCUAAAACGUCCGUAGCCGGUUUGGUACAUUCGUGGGUAAAUCAAGGCGCUCAACGUCUUGAAUUCUGCGAGCACGGCCAGACUUGGGACCGGGUGAGGUGUGGGGUACUCUCAGGGUAGGGGUAAAAUCCUGUCAUCCUGAGAGGACCACCUGUUGCGAAGGCGCCACACUAGAACGGAUCCGACGGUCAGGGACGAAGCCUAGGGGCACGAACCGGAUUAGAUACCCGGGUAGUCCUAGGUGUAAACGCUGUGGACUUGAUGUUGGGAGUGCUCCGAGCACCCUCAGUGUCGAAGCGAAGGUGAUAAGUCCACUGCCUGGGGAGUACGGUCGCAAGGCUGAAACUUAAAGGAAUUGGCGGGGGAGCACUGCAACCUGAGGAUUGUGCGGUUU
rnacentral:rRNA from 1 species